rnacentral:lncRNA from 1 species
GAGGUUUUUAAAUUCCGGUCAUUCCGAUGAGAAUUUCACUACGGAUAUAGUCAUCAGCUUUAUACUCGCCGGUCGGGAUACAACAUCGGCGGCAUUGACAUGGUUCUUUUGGUUAAUACAUAAACACCCUGAAGUUGAAAAGGAAAUCCUUAAAGAAAUUAAAGAGAAACCGGAUAUGCUGGUUUUUGAAGAAGUUAAAGACAUGGCUUACAUUCACGCUUCCUUGUGUGAGUCUAUGAGAUUGUACCCUCCGGUCCCGACGGACAGCAAACGAGCGGUGGCAGACGAUGUUUUGCCGGACGGGACGGUGGUAAAGAAAGGGUCGGUGGUGACGUACG